rnacentral:rRNA from 1 species
AGGACGAACGCUGGCGGCGUGCUUAACACAUGCAAGUCGAGCGGUAAGGCCUUUCGGGGUACACGAGCGGCGAACGGGUGAGUAACACGUGGGUGAUCUGCCCUGCACUCUGGGAUAAGCCUGGGAAACUGGGUCUAAUACCGGAUAUGACCUGCUCUCGCAUGGGGGUGGGUGGAAAGAUUUAUCGGGUGCAGGAUGGGCCCGCGGCCUAUCAGCUUGUUGGUGGGGUAAUGGCCUACCAAGGCGACGACGGGUAGCCGACCUGAGAGGGUGACCGGCCACGACUGGGACUGAGACACGGCCCAGACUCCUACGGGAGGCAGCAGUGGGAAUAUUGCACAAUGGGCGAAAGCCUGAUGCAGCGACGCCGCGUGAGGAUGAAGGCCUUCGGGUUGUAAACCUCUUCAGCAGGACGAAGCGCAAGUGACGGUACCUGCAGAAGAAGCGAACCGGCUAACUACGUG